rnacentral:rRNA from 1 species
GACGAACGCUGGCGGCGUGCUUAACACAUGCAAGUCGAACGGAAAGGCCCUGCUUUUGUGGGGUGCUCGAGUGGCGAACGGGUGAGUAACACGUGAGUAACCUGCCCUUGACUUUGGGAUAACUUCAGGAAACUGGGGCUAAUACCGGAUAGGAGCUCCUGCUGCAUGGUGGGGGUUGGAAAGUUUCGGCGGUUGGGGAUGGACUCGCGGCUUAUCAGCUUGUUGGUGGGGUAGUGGCUUACCAAGGCUUUGACGGGUAGCCGGCCUGAGAGGGUGACCGACCACAUUGGGACUGAGAUACGGCCCAGACUCCUACGGGAGGCAGCAGUGGGGAAUAUUGCACAAUGGGCGGAAGCCUGAUGCAGCAACGCCGCGUGCGGGAUGACGGCCUUCGGGUUGUAAACCGCUUUCGCCUGUGACGAAGCGUGAGUGACGGUAAUGGGUAAAGAAGCACCGGCUAACUACGUGCCAGCAGCCGCGGUGAUACGUAGGGUGCGAGCGUUGUCCGGAUUUAUUGGGCGUAAAGGGCUCGUAGGUGGUUGAUCGCGUCGGAAGUGUAAUCUUGGGGCUUAACCCUGAGCGUGCUUUCGAUACGGGUUGACUUGAGGAAGGUAGGGGAGAAUGGAAUUCCUGGCGGAGCGGUGGAAUGCGCAGAUAUCAGGAGGAACACCAGUGGCGAAGGCGGUUCUCUGGGCCUUUCCUGACGCUGAGGAGCGAAAGCGUGGGGAGCGAACAGGCUUAGAUACCCCGGUAGUCCACGCUGUAAACGGUGGGUACUAGGUGUGGGGUCCAUUCCACGGGUUCCGUGCCGUAGCUAACGCUUUAAGUACCCCGCCUGGGGAGUACGGCCGCAAGGCUAAAACUCAAAGGAAUUGACGGGGCCCCGCACAAGCGGCGGAGCAUGCGGAUUAAUUCGAUGCAACGCGUAGAACCUUACCUGGGUUUGACAUGGAUCGGGAGUGCUCAGAGAUGGGUGUGCCUCUUUUGGGGUCGGUUCACAGGUGGUGCAUGGCUGUCGUCAGCUCGUGUCGUGAGAUGUUGGGUUAAGUCCCGCAACGAGCGCAACCCUUGUUCACUGUUGCCAGCACGUUAUGGUGGGGACUCAGUGGAGACCGCCGGGGUCAACUCGGAGGAAGGUGGGGAUGACGUCAAGUCAUCACGCCCCUUAUGUCCAGGGCUUCACGCAUGCUACAAUGGCUGGUACAGAGAGUGGCGAGCCUGUGAGGGUGAGCGAAUCUCGGAAAGCCGGUCUCAGUUCGGAUUGGGGUCUGCAACUCGACCUCAUGAAGUCGGAGUCGCUAGUAAUCGCAGAUCAGCAACGCUGCGGUGAAUACGUUCCCGGG